AGGGAGUUUGAUCCUGGCUCAGGAUGAACGCUAGCUACAGGCUUAACACAUGCAAGUCGAGGGGCAGCAUGAUCGAAGCUUGCUUUGAUUGAUGGCGACCGGCGCACGGGUGAGUAACGCGUAUCCAACCUUCCCUAUAGUAGAGGAUAGCCCGGCGAAAGUCGGAUUAAUACUCUAUGUUUUCCGAAGCAGACAUCUAAUUUGGAACAAAGGUUCACCGCUAUAGGAUGGGGAUGCGUCUGAUUAGGUAGUCGGCGGGGUAACGGCCCACCGAGCCAACGAUCAGUAGGGGUUCUGAGAGGAAGGUCCCCCACAUUGGAACUGAGACACGGUCCAAACUCCUACGGGAGGCAGCAGUGAGGAAUAUUGGUCAAUGGGCGAGAGCCUGAACCAGCCAAGUAGCGUGCAGGAUGACGGCCCUAUGGGUUGUAAACUGCUUUUAUACGGGGAUAAAGUGAGGGACGUGUCCCUUUUUGUAGGUACCGUAUGAAUAAGGACCGGCUAAUUCCGUGCCAGCAGCCGCGGUAAUACGGAAGGUCCGGGCGUUAUCCGGAUUUAUUGGGUUUAAAGGGAGCGCAGGCUGAUUAUUAAGCGUGACGUGAAAUGUAGCCGCUCAACGGCUGAACUGCGUCGCGAACUGGUAGUCUUGAGUGAGUUCGAUGUUGGCGGAAUUCGUGGUGUAGCGGUGAAAUGCAUAGAUAUCACGAAGAACUCCGAUUGCGAAGGCAGCCAACAAGGCCUUUACUGACGCUAAAGCUCGAAGGUGCGGGUAUCGAACAGGAUUAGAUACCCUGGUAGUCCCCU
rnacentral:rRNA from 1 species